rnacentral:rRNA from 1 species
GAUGAACGCUGGCGGCGUGCUUAACACAUGCAAGUCGAACGGUGAAGCAGAGCUUGCUCUGUGGAUCAGUGGCGAACGGGUGAGUAACACGUGAGCAACCUGCCCCUGACUCUGGGAUAAGCGCUGGAAACGGCGCCUAUUACUGGAUAUGAGCUGCGACCGCAUGGUCAGCAGUUGGAAAGAUUUUUCGGUCUGGGAUGGGCUCACGGCCUAUAGGCUUGUUGUGAGGUAAUGGCUCACCAAGGGGUCGACGGGUAGCCGGCCUGAGAGGGUGACCGGCCACACUGGGACUGAGACACGGCCCAGACUCCUACGGGAGGCAGCAGUGGGGAAUAUUGCACAAUGGGCGAAAGCCUGAUGCAGCAACGCCGCGUGAGGGAUGACGGCCUUCGGGUUGUAAACCUCUUUUAGCAGGGAAGAAGCGAAAGUGACGGUACCUGCAGAAAAAGCGCCGGCUAACUACGUG